CCAACAGUAUCGCUCAGUGGUCGCGUCCACGGGUUUCCUCCAUUGUUAAAGUUGAAAACUAUUGAAUCCAUAGAGUGUGUUAGAGUUUGGGAUGUACCGGGAUAAACGGGAAUGGCUUCACUAACACUCGCGUCUCUCUGCUGGGCUCUGCCGAUCCUCUUCGUCGUGGUUUUCGCCGCUGACGCCCAGAGCACUACCACAGCUGAGUCUGGACAGGACGUAGUUCUACCAUGUCGAGUAUCACCAGACAAAACCAUCAGAGCUGUGAAGUGGAGCAGAGCUGACCUGGGAGAUGAAUAUGUGCUUCUGUUCCGGGAUGAGCAGCUGGAUCCAGAAGAGCAGCAUCCAUCUUUUAAGAACCGGGUGGAUCUGCAGGACAGACAGAUGAAGGAUGGAGACGUAUCUUUGAUUCUGAAGAAUGUGACGACUGCUGAUGGUGGAUCAUACAAUUGUGAUAUUUUCAACGGAGUGACAGAUUCAUGGGAGAUCAUCAACACUGUCAGCCUGACUGUUUCAGGUCAGACAGCAGAACUCACAGUUGCACCUGUUGGACUCAUCGUUGGUCUGAGUGUUCCUGCUGUGCUUCUUGUUGCUGCUGUUGUUGGUUUUGUGAUCUACAGAAAACAUAAACAACAGAACCGGGAUUUUAACUAGCAUCCUCAUGAACAGCAGAACCGGGAUUUUAACUAGCAUCCUCAUGAACAGCAGGUUUCAAAUGUCUCUACGGUUUAGUAUGUGUAAACUAACAAAACACUAAACUUACAAAACAACACUGGUUUAAAAACUAAUUGUUUAAUUUAAUCCUGGAUCACACUACAUGACAUCACUACAGAGUUCAGACAAAUGAUGCAUCAUUUACCCGAAUCGCUAUAAUUGAGAAAAAUCCUGGAAAAAAAAUAUUAGGACAUAAUAAUUGACAAGUUUCACCUGCUCUAUGUGUAACUCAAUGACCUCUAACACCUGAAAUAUUUUAUUGUAUGAAGGUAAAAUAUUGUGUACCUCUAAUGUUCAUCAUCUAUCCAGAUCUAUCACAGUGACAUGGAACGACCCACUGUAUUAUAAAUCCUUUCCAUUUAAUGUAUUUAAAAG
ensembl:lncRNA